rnacentral:rRNA from 1 species
AUUGAACGCUGGCGGCAGGCCUAACACAUGCAAGUCGAGCGGCAGCGGGUCCUUCGGGAUGCCGGCGAGCGGCGGACGGGUGAGUAAUGCCUAGGAAUCUGCCUGGUAGUGGGGGAUAACGUUCGGAAACGGACGCUAAUACCGCAUACGUCCUACGGGAGAAAGUGGGGGAUCUUCGGACCUCACGCUAUCAGAUGAGCCUAGGUCGGAUUAGCUAGUUGGUGGGGUAAAGGCUCACCAAGGCGACGAUUCGUAACUGGUCUGAGAGGAUGAUCAGUCACACUGGAACUGAGACACGGUCCAGACUCCCACGGGAGGCAGCAGUGGGGAAUAUUGGACAAUGGGCGAAAGCCUGAUCCAGCCGUGCCGCGUGUGUGAAGAAGGUCUUCGGAUUGUAAAGCACUUUAAGUUGGGAGGAAGGGCAGCUAGUUAAUACCUGGUUGUUUUGACGUUACCAACAGAAUAAGCACCGGCUAACUUCGUGCCAGCAGCCGCCGUAACAC